GCUGGGCAUGGUGGUGCACACCUGUAAUCCCAGUGGCUCUGGAGGCUGAGACAGGAGGAUCAUGAGUUCAAAGCCAGCCUCACCAAAAGCAAGGCACUAAACAACUCAGUGAGACCCUGUCUCUA
rnacentral:sRNA from 1 species